rnacentral:rRNA from 1 species
GGACCUGACUGCUAUCGGAUUGCUUUAAGCCAUGCGAGUCUUUGUAGUAAUACAAGGCAGACGGCUCAGUAACGCGUAGUCAAUCUACCCUAUGGACGAGGAUAACCUCGGGAAACUGAGAGUAAUACUCGAUAGAACAUUAUGCCUGGAAUGGUUUAUGUUCCAAAUGAUUUAUCGCCGUAGGAUGGGACUGCGGCCUAUCAGUUUGUUGGUGAGGUAAUGGCCCACCAAGACUAUUACAGGUACGGGCCCUGAGAGGAGUGGCCCGGAGAUGGGUACUGAGACACGGACCCAGGCCCUAUGGGGCGCAGCAGGCGAGAAAACUUUGCAAUGUGCGAAAGCACGACAAGGUUAAUCCGAGUGGUUUCUGCUAAAGAGACCUUUUGUCGGUCCUAGAAACACCGAUGAAUAAGGGGUGGGCAAGUUCUGGUGU